rnacentral:rRNA from 1 species
AACUACCUACGGGAGGCAGCAGUGAGGAAUAUUGGUCAAUGGGCGGAAGCCUGAACCAGCCAAGUCGCGUGAGGGAAUAAGGCCCUACGGGUCGUAAACCUCUUUUGCCGGGGAGCAAGGGCCGGGACGCGUCCCGGCCCGGAGAGUACCCGGAGAAAAAGCAUCGGCUAACUCCGUGCCAGCAGCCGCGGUAAUACGGAGGAUGCGAGCGUUAUCCGGAUUUAUUGGGGUUAAAGGGUGCGUAGGCGGGCUUUUAAGUCAGCGGUAAAAAUUCGGGGCUCAACCCCGUC